GGCUGUAGAGAGUGUGUGUAUAGGGGGCAUAGUUUUAUAGGGGAUGCAGCGAGUGUGUGCAUACGGGCUGAAGUGUGUGUGUGUAUAGGUGACGUAGUGUGUGUAGGGGUUGCAGAGAGGGUGUGUUUAGAGAAUGUUGUAUGUGUUUGCUGACAAGGAAUGUAGUGUGUGUGUGUAGGAGAUCUACUGUGUAAAGGACCCAUUGUGUGUGUGUG